UUGGGAUGAGACAAAACGGAACCAAGCCAGAGACGAGGUGUGAAUUGCAGGACACAUUACGCUGAGCUUUUUUGAACGCACAUUGCGGCCUCGGGUCCUUCCCGGGGCCACGUCUGUCUGAGGGU
rnacentral:rRNA from 1 species